rnacentral:rRNA from 1 species
UGGGAAUCUUCCGCAAUGGACGAAAGUCUGACGGAGCAACGCCGCGUGAGUGAUGAAGGCUUUCGGGUCGUAAAACUCUGUUGUUAGGGAAGAACAAGUGCUAGUUGAAUAAGCUGGCACCUUGACGGUACCUAACCAGAAAGCCACGGCUAACUACGUGCCAGCAGCCGCGGUAAUACGUAGGUGGCAAGCGUUAUCCGGAAUUAUUGGGCGUAAAGCGCGCGCAGGUGGUUUCUUAAGUCUGAUGUGAAAGCCCACGGCUCAACCGUGGAGGGUCAUUGGAAACUGGGAGACUUGAGUGCAGAAGAGGAAAGUGGAAUUCCAUGUGUAGCGGUGAAAUGCGUAGAGAUAUGGAGGAACACCAGUGGCGAAGGCGACUUUCUGGUCUGUAACUGACACUGAGGCGCGAAAGCGUGGGGAGCAAACAGGAUUAGAUACCCUGGUAGUCCACGCCGUAAACGAUGAGUGCUAAGUGUUAGAGGGUUUCCGCCCUUUAGUGCUGAAGUUAACGCAUUAAGCACUCCGCCUGGGGAGUACGGCCGCAAGGCUG